CCUACGGGAGACAGCAGUGGGGGAUAUUGCACAAUGGGGGAAACCCUGAUGCAGCGACGCCGCGUGUGGGAAGACGGUCCUCUGGAUUGUAAACCACUGUCCCCAGGGACGAAGAUGACGGUACCUGGGGAGGAAGCCCCGGCUAACUACGUGCCAGCAGCCGCGGUAAUACGUAGGGGGCAAGCGUUAUCCGGAUUUACUGGGUGUAAAGGGAACGUAGACGGCUGUGCAAGUCUGAAGUGAAAGCCCAGGGCUCAACCCUGGGACUGCCGUGGAAACUGUGGAGCUAGAGUGCUGGAGAGGUAAGUGGAAUUCCUAGUGUAGCGGUGAAAUGCGUAGAUAUUAGGAGGAACACCAGUGGCGAAGGCGGCUUACUGGACAGUAACUGACGUUGAGGCUCGAAAGCGUGGGGAGCAAACAGGAUUAGAUACCCUGGUAGUC
rnacentral:rRNA from 1 species